GAUGAACGCUGGCGGCGUGCCUAACACAUGCAAGUCGAACGGAAGGGCCCUGCUUGCACGUUUCUCGAGUGGCGGACGGGUGAGUAACACGUAGGUGAUUUGCCCUGCACUUCGGGUUACGUCCGGGAAAGUGGGCCUAAUACCUACCAGGAGCUAUUUUGAACGUGAUGGUUCGAAAGUUUUUUCGGUGUUGGAUGAGCUUGCGGCGUAUUAGCUAGUUGGUGGGGUAAUGGCCUACCAUGGCGGCGAUCGGUAGCCGACCUGAGAGGGUGAUCGGCCACACUGGAGCUGAGACACGGUCCAGACUCCUACGGGAGGCAGCAGUAGCGAAGGGAGGGAAAUGGGCGAAAGCCUGAACGAGCGACGCCGCGCGGGUGAAGAAGGUCCUCGGAGGGGAAAACGCUCUUAGUGGGGUAGACUACUUGUGCUAGGAACGAUGCUUGUUUUGACGGUACCUAGAUAAGAAGCACCGGCUAACUACGUG
rnacentral:rRNA from 1 species